GUGCCAGCAGCCGCGGUAAUACAGAGGGUGCGAGCGUUAAUCGGAUUUACUGGGCGUAAAGCGUGCGUAGGCGGCUUUUUAAGUCGGAUGUGAAAUCCCCGAGCUUAACUUGGGAAUUGCAUUCGAUACUGGUUAGCUAGAGUGUGGGAGAGGAUGGUAGAAUUCCAGGUGUAGCGGUGAAAUGCGUAGAGAUCUGGAGGAAUACCGAUGGCGAAGGCAGCCAUCUGGCCUAACACUGACGCUGAGGUGCGAAAGCAUGGGGAGCAAACAGGAUUAGAAACCCCUGUAGUC
rnacentral:rRNA from 1 species